rnacentral:lncRNA from 1 species
GUCGAUGGGUGCGUGUCAGAUCCUCCAAAAGUAGUAUAUUUUUGGAGGAUCCGACACGGGUGUGGCAGAUGUUUUGGGGAGUCUGCGCAACAUAGUUGGUUUGGCAAUGUUGCCUGUUAGAAUGGCAUUAAAGGUUAAUAUAAGUGCAUUAAAAUUCCAUGUUGUUGAGAAUUACUUGAGAAAUUGAUUUAUGAGUUCGUAGAAAAGGUUUGUCAAUUCUUCCUUGCGUAUUAUUUUUGUCACCCAAAAUGUUGUCUGGUAGUGUUAAUUGUUGUGGGGUGAGAGUAAUA